UACUCGAUUCAGUUCUCUCGACAAGCUC
rnacentral:piRNA from 1 species